AAAAAGACGAUGAAAGGGACGAGUAAACAAAGGAUGUUUUACAGAGAGUGGGGGUAAGGUGAGAGCCCAUAAACUUACUUUGUUGAAAAUCACCCUUGAGUCGCAGGCUGAAAUUCAGUAGGCCGAGCCGGUGUAUGCCGUUAUCUAAAUGAGUUAUAAAAAUGGGUGGUACCGCGGACAGACCUUCGCCCCAGGG
rnacentral:ncRNA from 1 species